rnacentral:tRNA from 1 species
UCAAUGGUCAAAGGACUGGCAUGUGACAUCACAUCUGCGGGUUCAAUUCCCGUCGGUUC